GUACUUCCCAGAGCAUCCCUAACCUUCCCCCUCAUCCCCCGCCCCACGCCGUGCUCUCUCUGUCUCCCCCCGCCCUCUGCGCCAGGGCUGGCCUUCCUAGUCCUCUAGGCCUCCCCGGGAAUGAGCCCCAGUCCAGCAGCCUCCCCAGGUUGGUGUAAAUGCCACCCGGGCUGGGUAGGGCGGGGCUUGAGCUCCCCAUCACUCUUCUCCCUUCUCCUCCUCUUCUCCUUCUCCUCCCUCCCCCCCCCCUUCCCCGGCCUACCUCCGCUCGCUAUUUUUAGCCCACCCACCCCAGCUGGCCGCCACUCUCUUGGUCUGUCUGUCUGUCUGUCCGUCGGUCCGUCAGUCUCUCCUGAGCUGCUGCACGCCAGGGCAGGAGUCCUUGGCUGCCGCGAUCCAUCCCUCCUCCUCCUCCUCCUCCUCCUCUUCUUCCUCCUCCUCCUCCUCCUCCUCCUCCUCUCCCCCACCCCCGCCCCUCCCUCUUCGGAGCUGGAGCCGCCCUCCCUCCAGCACUAGCUUCCCGCGGCUCCCGGCAGAGGCGCCCGGCGGCGGCGGCGAUAGAAGCAGCGGCAGCGGCAGCGGCUCGCAGCCCUGGCUGCCUCGCUCCUUCUCUUGCUCUCGGGCUGCCUCCCCGGUUCAGCGAGACGCGCAGUGAAGCCCAGGCCGGGUUCCAGCCGGGGUUCCAAUCCCAGGCCGGCGGGGCUCCACCCCCAGAGACGGGGAAUGCCCGGGAGCCGCCUAGGCAACUUUCGGCACCCCCUCCCGCCCCGCCGCGGGCUUACUCCCUAGCGCCCCGGGAGGAGGGCAGCGGGGACAAGGAGAAGUUUGGGUCACCGCCCCCCCGGCCCCCGAGGACGAGGAGCUGACGCUGCAGUCUCUGGGAAAGAUAUCAUCAUCUCUGCCUACUCAUCAUAACCAAGACGUCACCAACGUAGCUGGGGCCGCAGGAUCCUGCCUUGGUUGGGUCACAGCGUCUUCUCCUGGUUGUCCACUAUGAGCUCCCCAGCACAGCCAGGGAAGCUUUCUUGCCAAGGACAGCGACCUUUGACUUGCUUGCCCAGGCUGGAGCCCAGGUGAACCAUCUGCCUGCUGCUCUAUUGCCUUUAGCUUCAGGAAAGCCGAUUGGGAACACCUUCUUCAGCCCAUCACCUUGUACUGGAGGCUGUAUUUUUAGCCCUUAAGCAUAGUCCGUGCUCUGUAUUUAGACAUCUGGCUCGAAAACUCGAAUUUGCUCAGUGAGCAGAAGAAGCGCUCCCAGAAGAACAUUCCAAGGUUACAGAUAGUGUCCCCGGUGAAACGCUUUCUUCUUUCUUUCUGCUCUCUAUCGAAUAUCACAUAAAUAACAGCCACUGACUGGCUCGCCAAACUAGGACUCGGAAUUGCGGAGAACUUGGCUGAGGCAAGAAGGUAUGAUUACACGUGGAAGGGCGUUCUGGCAGCCUAUUGUUUGCAGGAAGCGGAAACGGAUCCCUUUUAUUUCUGUCUUAAGCGAACUGCACAUCUUCAAAUCUUUCAGUCCUUGUAGCCAAACAGCCCGGACAAAGGAAAAUAAAACAAACCGGACCAAAAAGAGAGUCGAGCAAGCUCACUUUUUAAUAUUUGAAAAUACUAUUUAUUGAAUUCAGAAAAAACAACAAUAAAGACAUGACAUUUCAUAGAAUUUAUCACCUGCCUUUUUUGGGGGGUGGGAAGUCAUUUGACCUUUUAUAGCCUCAGUCUUCUCAUCUAUAAAAUGGGGAUAAUAAUAGCACCUACCUUAUGGGGUUGAUAUGGGGAUUAAGUGAGAUACAAGAUGUUACGUGCAAUGCAAACUUACAUAUAAGCAUAUAAAUGGUAGGUGGCAUAGAGGCUAGAAGUUCUGGGUCUGAAGUUAGGAAGACUCAUCUUCCCGAGUUCAACUAUGGCUUCAUACGCUAGCGGAAUGACUCUGGGCAAGUCACUUAACCGUGUUGGCAUCAGUUUCCUCACAUGUAAAAUGAACUAGAGAAGGAAGUGGCAAACCACUCCAGUAUCUUUCCCAAGAAAACCCCAAAUGGGGUCCUAGGCAUAAGGAGCGGACAAUCCAAGCCUUUGUUUAUAAAAAGUUGUUUCAUUUGCAAAAGGUAAUGUUUGUUCAUUUUACAGGCCAUUUUUAGGAAGAUCAAUUUACCAUCUGAUCAGAAGAGUGGGGAGAGACCCGAAGCUGAGGGAUCCAUCAGAAGGCUCUUGCAAUAGUCUAGGAAUAAGAUGAGAGAUGAUAGUGGGGCGGUGGGAUUGGUUGGAGAAGAUGGAAUGGAAUGGGGUCACGGGUGAACUUAGAGAGGUUUGCCAGGGAGAAAAACUCCCUUUUCCUAUAAAACAGGGCUAGAGGAGGUAGCAGCAGAAGGCACCUGAAUUUUCAAGAUGAAAAGGUUGAAGGAAAGAUUUAAUUAAUAGUGCCAAUUCCAUGCAACAAACAUUGAUGAUUUAUUGACUGAUAUUUAAAGAAACAUUGUACUGGGCGCUAGGGAUCCCAAGACAGAAAAUGAGAAUAGUGCCUGCCUCAAGGAGUUGACAUUCUACUGAAGGGGUAUUCCAGGUAGGUGAGUUCCAUUCAUUUGACAAUUUAUGUAUCUGAUGAUGAGACUUUGAAAUAUUAUCUAUCAAAUGUAAUUAAAAAGAGAGGAUUUGAUUUCUUUUAAAUGUUGCAGUCAUAUAUUUGUGGAAAUUUUUUAAAAAUUAAAAAGAGAAAAUCUGAUUGGUAUUUGAGGCUUCCACUUCUGUUGUUCAUUUUCUACAGUUAACUCUAUUGAAAGUCAAAGAGAUUGGAUUAUAUGUAUAUAUAUGUAUAUGUACAUAUAUAUACACACAUACAUACAUACAAACAUAUGUAUGUGUAUUUGUAUCUCUAGUUACAAUUUGCAUGUAUGUACAUAUAUGUAAUAUUUGUGUGUAUAUGUGUGUAGAUAGGUAGACACAUAGAUAAAUAGAUAGACAAAUAGACAUAUAGAUAGAUAGAUAGAAAGAAAGAUGGAUAGAUGGAUGGUGUAACAGUUAAAAUGUAGGGGAGACUGAGGCAGGCAGAAAUUAGUUUCUCUCUGCAAGGAGUAUUAUAUUUUUUAGAGGUUUAUUAAGGAUUCAAGAAUAUACAAGUAAGAAAAAACACAUGCCUAGGCCAGAGGCCUAGACAAGACCUCACCUACAUUAUGGAAAGAGCCACGUCUGCUCCAAAACGGAAGUCCAAAAAGAGAGAGUUGCUCAAAAGCCUUUGCAAUCAGCUUAAGUACCUUCUCGAUCUCACCCACCUCAGAAUUCCGUGAGAUUACAAAGCAUUUUGGGGAAGUGGAGCAAGGACUUGUGGGGAUUGAAGUCCAGAGUUCAAAUCUCAAUUUUACAUUUCACCAUUUGAUCCUCUGGGAAGAAGUCCUUCCCCAAAGGAUCAUAAAAACAUAAUCAAUUUAAAGAUUACAAUAAUUUGAGGAUAAGAAAAAAAACAAAACCAAUAAUUGCUGAACACAUUGACAAAAAGCCAGUUUAGGGGGCAGUCCCCUUUGGCAUGAAAGUAUACAUACAAAUAAAUGUUCAAUCAACUACACCCAAAAUUCAAUUUGGAUUUUUUUGUGCAGCUUGUCAUCUGGAGGCAUCUUCAUGGUGUCUUCUCCAACAGUUGAGUUUCUGGGUUCAGAGAGGUAGCAUCUUCUUUACCUAAAAUUCUUCUCAAAAGGAAUUUAAACUUUGCAAUUUAAAUAAUGAUUUUUUUUACAUUCCCCCAUUAAGAGGGUGAUUAAAAAAAAAGGAUCACUUAGGGAUGCAUGGCUGAGGUAUGAGGUAUAUGAAUCAAUUGGCAAGAGAUAUUAAAGACAUCAGAAAAAUCCAAAUAAAAAAGAAAAAUCUCUGGAUGAAAAUAUUGACAAUCAAAGUCUUAUGUGAAAAAAUUCCAAGUAAAAAGAAAAAUAAAUCUAUGACAGGUCCUUGAAUCAGGGCCCAAUCAAAAUGAUCUAAGCAAUGAUGCAUUUACCCAGUCAGUAGCCAGGACUACAGAAAGUUGCCACACUAUGAGAGGCAGAAAAGAAAGGGACCAGAGGAUAGAAGCCAAGUAGGAGCCAAGGUUUUGGGGAUACUCGUCUGUGAGUAUCUUCAGAGUGAGUGUGGACACAAGGAAAGCCUAUGUAUUAACACAUGUUAAACACAGUAACCUUGAGUCUUCACACUAGGUUCAAGACCUUUGUAUUGGCCUAGAAGUGCAUCAAUCCAUCCUGGAUUGGCUUUUCUUUGGCUCUGAGCAAUGGCUCUUGUGUGUACAUCUUGUCCUGGAAUGAGACAGAAUCAUUAAGCAAAGUCCCAUAAUUUAUUUAAAUAAUUAGAGGAAUCAUUUUUAUAGUCACAUGUUUUUUAGGGCAUGCAUUAGCAAAUGUAUCUUAAACUUGUAGUAUUGAAAAAUCAAAAGGUUAAAUAAAAUCUUAAUACUGGUGACAUGUGCUUGAAAUAUAAAAAGGAGAGAAAAAUAAUAAAAAUAUACUGAAAAGUAUAUUGCACACUCAAGAAAAAUAUAAUAAUAAAAGCUUUAAACAUUCAAAAUUAUAGCUUAUAAUCAUUGACACUCUGUGUCAGCUAAGAAAAUAUAAAAUUCAAGGCUUUCUCACCAAAAAUGAGAUCCAUUUCCUCUUAAUAUCUGGCCAUGAUCACUGUGAGUAGAAGGCAAAUGAAUUGAACAAGGUUAACAAUUUUUCAUUUUUAAAAAUACAGUAGUACAAAUAUGUAGAUAUCAAUAUCCCCAAAAUUCUCAAUAGCCCAAUUAAUUACAAUAGCAAACAAACACACUUUCACAUUUCACAUAAGUUGUAUGACAUUUAAAAGCCUAUGAAUUGAUGGAUAUUUGUCACAAUUUUUACAAAUGUAGCAAUCUUUCAACCUUCGUAUUCAAACAUUUUUUUAAAACAAAGUAAAACUCAUCUUGGGUUAAGAACAUAAUCAAGAAAUCUAUAUAUCAUUCUGGUAGAAGUAAAAUAGUGAGCUGAAGAGUAUAAAUAAAGCGGUGCUCCUUUUUCUUGGAGGCUUAUAGGGAUACAAAUGCCCUGAGAUUAACUGCCCAACUUCCAUUCACAUGUGGAAAGGUUGGGGUUUAUAAAAUGUAUUUCACUUCAGCUACUAGAAUGGGCCUUACCUCGUGGUAGGGGCAGGCAAAAUAA